ACUCCAAACCCAUCAUCUCACUCUCUCUAUAUUAGUCUUUUCUCAAUACCCAAAUAUCACUUUUUCUUAACCUUAACCUUAACCCUAAUAUCAUCUCACUCUUUUUUCAUAUCAAAUGGCUGCUGAACCUCAAAAACCUGCUGAAGAAGUUGCCACAACCACCUCUGAAACUGUUGUUGAGAAAGAACAACAGGCUGAUGGAGUUGUAGCUGCUGCUGUUACCGCUGCCGCUGUUACCGCUGCCACCACUGAUAAGGAAGCUGUUGCUGAUCCUCCUCCUGCUGUUGCUGAUGAGGCUGAGAAGCCGGCGGAAGUUGUGGCUGAUAAGGUGGCGGAUGAAACUGUUGUUGAUGAAAGCAAGGUUUCUCAAUCGGUUUCUUUUAAGGAAGAAACUAACGUGGUUUCUGAACUUCCUGACGUUCAGAAAAAAGCACUUGAUGAACUUAAACAACUUAUUCAAGAAGCGCUUAACAAACAUGAAUUCACCGCUCCUCCACCCGCUCCAGUCAAAGCACCUGAACCUGAAGUAGCUGUAAAAGAAGAGAAAAAGCCUGAAGAAGAUGAAAAGAAAACCGAAGAGGUGGUAGAAGAGAAGAAAGAUGAAGCAGUAGUUGAGGAGAAGAAGGUUGAUGAAGAAAAAGGUUCAACCUCUGAGGAACCUAAAGUUGAAACUGCUGAACCUGAAAAGGAGGAGAAGAAAGUGGAGGAAACGGUUGUAGAAGUUGUUGAGAAAAUAGCUGCAAGUACCGAAGAAGACGGUGCGAAAACAGUUGAGGCUAUUCAGGAAAGUAUAGUAUCUGUUCCAGUUACUGAAGGUGAACAACCUGUUGCUGAGCCUGUUGCUGAA
rnacentral:lncRNA from 1 species